rnacentral:lncRNA from 1 species
GAGCAGGCUCCUGGCAGGAGCUGUGGCCUCGUGGAGAGAGGAGCCUGUGUUGGAGCAGGUUUGCUGGCAGGACUGGUGACCUCUCGAGGGACAAUGUGAUCCUGAUGGACUUCACUCUGCAGGAGUGGCCAUCACCGGGGCAGUUUGUGAAGAACUGCAGCCUGUGGGAAAGAGCAGGGGAAGAGUGACAGGAGUCUUUAACCUGGGGAGAAAGGAGCAGCAGGGACAACAUGUGUUGGACUGAUCACAUCCCACAUUCUCAUUUCUCUGCCCUGUGGUGGGGUAAGAGGGAGAGAAAAUUGGGAGUAAAGUUGAGCUCUGGAAGAAAGGGUGGGAGGAAGGUGUUUUUUAAAAUUUGUUUCUAUUUCUUAUUACCUAAUCUGAUCUAAUUGUUGUCAAACUAAACUAAUUUCCCCAAGGCAAAUGUGUUUUGCUAAUGGUGGUAACGAAUGAGUGCACCCUCCAUGUUAUUUAUCUUAAUCCAUGAGCCUUUCAUUAUGUUUUCUCGUCCCUUCUGUGUUGAGGAAGGGAGUGAGAGGCUUUGGUGGACACUUGGUAUCCAGAUAGGGUCAACCCAGCACAAUAAUCUAGCCCUUCUCUUCUGCCCUUUCAAAUUCUCUGUGAUUUUCAAAUCGGUGCCUGCUUGAUAUUAAAUGUUCUGACACCUGAGACUUUAAAGAUAUUUUAGUGCCAAAUUCAAAGAAAUGAAAGUGAUUUUCCCAAACUCAGUUUUUUUGUUGAGAAUGCUAAAUGUUAAUUUUCUAUAUUUCACCUGUCUCUUUAGGCUGCCUGAGUCACUGGCUGCAGCUUACUAUCACUUACCUGUUCAAGUAAGGGAACAAGAUACUAGGGAGCGAGGGCAUAGGGUGUACCAUGAUGUCAAGUUUCAGGAGUGCUGUCUGCUGAGGUGCUCCAUGACCAGAGUGGCCAGAAAUGGACUCCAACAGUAGGGUGUAGGAGCACCCAAAGAUGCUGUCAGGACAUGCGGGACCCAAGACGUGAUACAGAUUUUUGACUCUUCCAAGGAGCUUCAGCUGAAAAUCAAACUCAAGUCCUCAGUUAGUAUAGAAGUUGUAAUGCUGCAGUUUGUGUCUCUGAUGAACUUACAGGUAUCACUGGAGGAAUGAGUUCAAGUAAAUGUAACUUCAUAUACACAAAACCAGCUCAGCCACUUUCAGACAGAAAUAGCACUGCCUCAGCAGUACAUCACAUCAGUGUUCUGCUAUCUAGAAUGGACUAAUUUUAUAAAAGGUUGUCAUAAAAAUUAUACAGGUGCUAUUGUUUCCAUCUGUGAUUCACUUAAGUGGCAAGCAGUCUGAUUCAUCUGUUCAUGUCAACAGAAAGAUUUGCAAUGACUUCAAAAAGAAUUGGAAUAAGCACCAACUCAAGCAAACCAGAGGCUGGCUAUAUGUUCAAAUCUUGGCUGUGUACUUUUAAAACAAGGUAAUGUCACCCUAGUUUUCACCUGCAACUGAGCUAGGCUGGCAGAACAUGGAGGUGUUUAAACUUUAUUUGUAUCUGUGGACAUCCGUAUCUCUGUAUACAAUCCUUUAAUGUUUUCUUCAAACUAAAUUACUCUGAAAUUUCCCAGGAUGUCUCAGUGAGGUAUCAAGUAUUUUUAGGUAUGUACAUAAUCCAGUCAUGUUUCCAGCAAUGUUCUGCCAACCUCUUUUCCAUGAAGGGGUAUUCUUGUGGUGACCAUAUUCUCUCAGAUGCUUCCCUGUCCAAAGUGUCUAAAAAUUAAAGUGUUAGGAGAGGCAAACUUGUACCCUUUCUUCUCAUGGAAAGCUGUGAUGUAUGCAAGCACUAAUUACUAAAAGUGCACAGAAAUUGGAAUAAUAGGAACUACAGAAAUUCCUUUCUGCCUGGAGGUUUCUUCUCUUCAGAGACGAAUUUGACUAAUCCAGAAAGUUUCAUGCUGGCAAAUGAGACUAGAGCUAGAGCCCUCCUCUCAUGGUGGCUGAUGCUUGUAUCUGGAAUAAAAUGGCAGUUCAUUGGUUCUAAGGGCUGUUG